AGCACCUAAAAGCGUUUUCUUGUAGGCCAAUUCAAUGCUCUUGAAAAUCGUAGCUGUGUGCCAGAUUAAAUCUAAGUUGCAAGUGACUUUUUGUAUUUCUAAAUAAAAGUCCAUAACGCUGAGUACAUUU
rnacentral:snoRNA from 13 species